rnacentral:rRNA from 1 species
UACGGAGGGGGCUAGCGUUGUUCGGAAUUACUGGGCGUAAAGCGCGCGUAGGCGGCUUUGUAAGUUAGAGGUGAAAGCCCGGAGCUCAACUCCGGAAUUGCCUUUAAGACUGCAUCGCUAGAAUCAUGGAGAGGUGAGUGGAAUUCCGAGUGUAGAGGUGAAAUUCGUAGAUAUUAGGAAGAACACCAGUGGCGAAGGCGGCUCACUGGUCCGGUACUGACGCUGAGGUGCGAAAGCGUGGGGAGCAAACAGG